CCUACGGGUGGCAGCAGUGAGGAAUAUUGGUCAAUGGACGCAAGUCUGAUCCAGCCAUGCCGCGUGCAGGAAGACGGCUCUAUGAGUUGUAAACUGCUUUUGUACGAGGGUAAACGGAGAUACGCGUAUCUGUCUGAAAGUAUCGUACGCAUAAGGAACGGCUAACUCCGUGCCAGCAGCCGCGGUAAUACGGAGGAUUCAAGCGUUAUCCGGAUUUAUUGGGUUGAAAGGGUGCGUAGGCGGUCGGAUAAGUUAGAGGUGAAAUCCCGAGGCUCAACUUCGGAAUUGCAUCUGAUACUGUGCGGCUAGAGAGUAGUAGCGGUAGGCGGAAUGUAUGGUGUAGCGGUGAAAUGCUUAGAGAUCAGACAGAACACCGGUUGCGAAGGCAGCUUACCAAGCUACUUCUGACGUUGAGGCACGAAAGCGUGGGGAGCAAACAGGAUUAGAUACCCCAGUAGUC
rnacentral:rRNA from 1 species